rnacentral:lncRNA from 1 species
AAUGACUAUUGGAUGAACCUGUUGUUGUGUGUGUACCUUUGGGACUGGCUGAGGAAAUAAUGAAGCCAUGAUGGCUGGAAAAGUUAGCAAAUGUAGGGGAAGUGCUGUCCGAACUUUUAAAGGAUAUGUUUGCAUUGAGUUUGUGAUCUAAGACUUGGGUUUGAGCAAGGCAAUGAUACAUGAUGGAUGAUUUCUGAGCCAUUGAGGUGAGUGACCCUAAAUUGUUUCCAAAGUUACUUUUGAAAUGUUCCUUGCAUUGUUUCUUUGGUUUGCAUAUCAUGUGUGCGCGCAUACGAGUUCUUGACAUGGUUUGGCUUUAAUGAGUUCUUGAGGAGUCUUGUGCUGGACACCAACGUCUCCACCACUUUCGUGAGUUUGUGAUAUGAUCUGGAGCACCGAUGCUGCUCCCCUUUAAUGUUUAUGGUUUCGUGAUCUGUUUGAGCGUUGGGUGUUUAGUUUCAAUGAUUUCACUGGCUCACGAGAGCAAAAAUACGUGCAUUUGAUACUUGAAUCAUGACAUCAUGACAUCAUCGAAAUGAAUUAUUGUGAAAGAUAUUUGAUUACUGGUUUUAUUUGGUUACUCGCUGAGCUUCUAGCUCACCCCAAAAAUAUUUUAUUCCCCUCCACAGGGCUCAAGGCGAAGGCAGGACUUGUUGUGCUUAUUCAUGUGAAUGGAUGGAUUAUCUCGUGUGUGGUUUGAAUUUGGAUUUCCUUUUGUGUAAUAGUUAUUAUUAGGGAUUGUAAUGAAUGUUUGGAAUCGAUCGGAUGUGUACAUACGUUCCACGCUUGGAAUUAGUUUCCGCUUCGUUUUGUUUAUAUGUAAAUAUUGAAGAUUUACAUUGUAAUAUUUGAGGUUUAUUCUUGUAAUAUAUUGAGGAUUGUAGUGAACGACUGAGUCCCGGCGAGAGCUGGGCAGGCGGCCCGCCGAACCCUCUGGUUCGCCUCAGGGGGAGGUGGGGCCGUCACAUAGCACGCUAGUUUCGCCUUCUAAUCCGAGGGAAAAUCAAAGUCGAAGAAUUAGG